ensembl:lncRNA MIR100HG mir-100-let-7a-2-mir-125b-1 cluster host gene
AGUAAAGAUUAAAUGUGCUUCUCAAAGGCAGCCACUUCAUGCUGCUAUGUCGAAAGGGCCAUUAUUAUUAUUAUAUUUUAAUGGUAAAAGAGAAAAGGAGAGAGGUUGAGCGAGCGAGAGAGAAGCUAGGUGUGAUGAUGACAGACUAGCUUUUCUGAGAGGAAAAGGAAAAGGGAAGGGAGAGAAAAAGGAGAGCCUCUGAGCUCAACGGAGGAUUGUGCCUGAGAAGAACCCACAGAGUGUCCUCCUGGCUGUGGCUGCUUUGUCAUUCUCUUUGACUAGCCAGCCAUCUACCUUGCUCAGGCCUGGAAUAAAAGAAGAACAAGAAGAAGAAAGAAAUGAAAUGAAAAACAGAAAGAAAAAGGAGAAGAAACAUUUGUAAAAGGGUCAUCUUCCCAUCUGCCUCCCCUCCUUUUCCUUUCAUUUUUGGUGGCGGCACAGGAAAGCCCCACUUCCAGUCUGAUGAGGAAAGCGACAAUCUAUCAGGUACAGAACCAGGGGCUGUCUGCGAAGAUGGAGGGGAAUUAUGCUUCGGAUUCCUCUGAAAUAUUGGCCAAAGGCU